GUACACCUUCCACCGUUAACACAUAUACUAAAAUUGGAAUGAUACAGAGAAGAUUAACAUGCUCCUUGCACAAGAAUAACAUGCAAAUUUGUGAAGUGUUUCAUUUAAAA
rfam:Gorilla gorilla gorilla genomic chromosome, chr9, whole genome shotgun sequence